UAGCUAGUUGGUAGGGUAAGAGCCUACCAAGGCGACGAUCGGUAGCUGGUCUGAGAGGAUGGCCAGCCACACUGGAACUGAGACACGGUCCAGACUCCUACGGGAGGCAGCAGUGGGGAAUAUUGGACAAUGGGGGCAACCCUGAUCCAGCAAUGCCGCGUGUGUGAAGAAGGCCUGAGGGUUGUAAAGCACUUUCAGUGGGGAGGAGGGUAUUUAGGUUAAGAGCUAGGAUACUGGACGUUACCCACAGAAGAAGCACCGGCUAACUCCGUGCCAGCAGCCGCGGUAAUACGGGGGGUGCGAGCGUUAAUCGGAAUAACUGGGCGUAAAGGGUGCGUAGGUGGUUAGAUAAGUUAUCUGUGAAAUCCCCGGGCUCAACCUGGGCAGGUCAGAUAAGACUGUUCGACUCGAGUAUAGGAGAGGGUAGUGGAAUUUCCGGUGUAGCGGUGAAAUGCGUAGAGAUCGGAAGGAACACCAGUGGCGAAGGCGGCUACCUGGCCUGAUACUGACACUGAGGCACGAAAGCGUGGGGAGCAAACAGGAUUAGAUACCCUGGUAGUCCACGCUGUAAACGAUGUCAACUAGCCGUUGGUUAUAUGAAUAUAAUGAGUGGCGA
rnacentral:rRNA from 1 species